GGCUUACCAAGGCGACGAUCAGUAGCCGACCUGAGAGGGUGAUCGGCCACAUUGGAACUGAGACACGGUCCAAACUCCUACGGGAGGCAGCAGUGGGGAAUAUUGCACAAUGGGCGAAAGCCUGAUGCAGCAACGCCGCGUGAGUGAUGAAGGCCUUCGGGUCGUAAAACUCUGUCCUCAAGGAAGAUAAUGACGGUACUUGAGGAGGAAGCCCCGGCUAACUACGUGCCAGCAGCCGCGGUAAUACGUAGGGGGCUAGCGUUAUCCGGAUUUACUGGGCGUAAAGGGUGCGUAGGCGGUCUUUCAAGUCAGGAGUGAAAGGCUACGGCUCAACCGUAGUAAGCUCUUGAAACUGGGAGACUUGAGUGCAGG
rnacentral:rRNA from 1 species